rnacentral:piRNA from 1 species
UCUCCCUUUCAGAAGAAUUUUAACUGCUAC